rnacentral:lncRNA from 1 species
CUUGAGCCCAACUGGAGUGCAGGAAAGGUUCCAGGAUACAUGUGCAGAACGUGCAGGUUUGUUACAUAGGUAAACGUGUGCAAUGGUGGUUUGCUGCACCCAUCAACCCAUCACCUAGGUAUUAAGCCCCACAUGCAUUAGCUAUUUGUCCUGAUGCUCUCCCUCCCCCACCCCUCCCGAUAGGCCCCGAUGUGUGUUUUUCCUCUCCCUGUGUCCAUGCGUUCUCAUUGUUCAGCUCCCACUUAUAAGUGAGAACAUGUGGUGUUUGGUUUUCUGUUUCUGUGUUAGUUUGCUGAGGAUGAUGGUUUCCGGCUUCAUUCAUGUCCCUGCAAAGGACAUGAUCUCAUUCCUUUUUAUGGCUGCAUAGUUAUUCCAUGGUGUAUAUGUGCCACAUUUUCUUUAUCCAGUCUAUCAUUGAUGGGCAUUUGGGUUGGUUCCAAGUCUUUGCUAUUGUGAAUAGUGCUGCAAUAAACACA